rnacentral:rRNA from 1 species
UGCCAGACUCCUACGGGAGGCAGCAGUGGGGGAUAUUGCACAAUGGGGGAAACCCUGAUGCAGCGACGCCGCGUGAGUGAAGAAGUAUUUCGGUAUGUAAAGCUCUAUCAGCAGGGAAGAAAAAAGACGGUACCUGACUAAGAAGCCCCGGCUAACUACGUGCCAGCAGCCGCGGUAAUACGUAGGGGGCAAGCGUUAUCCGGAUUUACUGGGUGUAAAGGGAGCGUAGACGGCAGUGCAAGUCCGGAGUGAAAGCCCGGGGCUCAACCCUGGGACUGCUCUGGAAACUGUAAAGCUGGAGUGCGGGAGGGGCAGGCGGAAUUCCUGGUGUAGCGGUGAAAUGCGUAGAUAUCAGGAGGAACACCGGCGGCGAAGGCGGCCUGCUGGACCGUAACUGACGUUGAGGCUCGAAAGCGUGGGGAGCAAACAGGAUUAGAUACCCCUGUAAA